UACGACCACAUCAUGUUGAACAGUUCCUAUAUGAUCACAGAAGUUAAGCAACAUUGAGCCUGGUCAGUACUUAGAUCAGUAAUCACUUGGGAAUACCAGGUGCUGUAAG